CGCGGCCUAUCAGCUUGUUGGUGGGGUAAUGGCCUACCAAGGCGACGACGGGUAGCCGGCCUGAGAGGGUGAUCGGCCACACUGGGACUGAGACACGGCCCAGACUCCUACGGGAGGCAGCAGUGGGGAAUAUUGCACAAUGGGCGAAAGCCUGAUGCAGCGACGCCGCGUGGGGGAUGACGGUCUUCGGAUUGUAAACUCCUUUCAGUAGGGACGAAGCGAAAGUGACGGUACCUGCAGAAGAAGCACCGGCCAACUACGUGCCAGCAGCCGCGGUAAUACGUAGGGUGCAAGCGUUGUCCGGAAUUACUGGGCGUAAAGAGCUCGUAGGCGGUUUGUCACGUCGUCUGUGAAAUCCUCCAGCUCAACUGGGGGCGUGCAGGCGAUACGGGCAGACUUGAGUACUACAGGGGAGACUGGAAUUCCUGGUGUAGCGGUGAAAUGCGCAGAUAUCAGGAGGAACACCGGUGGCGAAGGCGGGUCUCUGGGUAGUAACUGACGCUGAGGAGCGAAAGCAUGGGGAGCAAACAGGAUUAGAUACCCUGGUAGUCUAUGCCGUAAACGGUGGGCGCUAGGUGUGGGGUCCUUCCACGGAUUCCGUGCCGUAGCUAACGCAUUAAGCGCCCCGCCUGGGGAGUACGG
rnacentral:rRNA from 1 species